rnacentral:misc_RNA from 1 species
AUUUGAGUUGUGUCACUUUUGAAGAUCGUCUGCGAUAUAUGGAGAAUCGACGAGAGUAGUCGUUUAAUCAGAAUGAUUAGCACAACCACCGAAGCAACAGCGGCAAAAGCCAAUAGCCCCAAAGCAAACCAGCAAGCAGUCAAGUGUUGGCAACGUAGAGGAACGCACGCGAUUUUCAAAACUUCGAAACGAGUAAUAAAAUCUAUUACAUACAUAUAACGAUAACAUUGCAUUUCACAACGAAGUCGUGACGUUGAUGUGAAGCGCAAUAAACAAAUCGACAAGCAACGAAAAGAAAAACGAUUAUUCGGCGGUAUACGUGUCACAAUUUAAAAAUAAGCACUCGUUUCAAAUUAGCGAGUGAUUGAGUUCAGACACUGCGACUAAUUAAGUCGAUCACUAAUAUAGAGGAAGUUUCCUAAUUGUAACAUCUUAGUGAUGGAGAAAUCGGGCCACCCCGGCAACUAUCCGCGCAUGCCAGUCGAGAUGCAAGAGGCCACACAUAGCGGCUAUACCGAACAGUCACCAGCCGCACCGCCAUCCUAUGAUCAAGCUACUCAUGCAGCACCAUAUCCCCCAGUGCAAGUUUUACCUACGCCCAGUGGCGCCGCGCAGAUGCAGCAGCAGCAGCAACAACAGCAAUAUAGCAGCACAAAAGCAACAGGCGCAGCAGCAACAGCAGCCGGCGGCGGAAUUGGCGCUCAACACACCUUUGGCGGCAACCCGCACUAUGGAGCAACCAGCAUGGGUGGUGGUAUACCGCCACCACAUCACACUUACACGUCGAAUGCGUCAGCCACCACGCAGCCAAUGGUUCAACAGCCAGUUGUGAUAAUUCAACAACAUGCCAUUUUGCCCUUGGGACCAGAGCCAACCAUUGUUUCAUGUCCAGCAUGUCAUGUCACGAAACUAACACGCAUCGACUAUGAACCAAGCGCCAGGACACAUUUAAUGGCAGCAAUACUUUGCAUAGUGGGGCAUUCUUAAUAGGUUUAAAUUCUAUUGAUUGGAAAUGGAAUGAACAAAUUUAAAACCCACUGCUACAGAUAAAUCUGACUCAGGCGCGGUAGCUUGGUGGCUAGAGGUUAAUACGAACACACGGUAGGACACAGAUUCGAUCCCUAGUCUGUGCAGCAUCCCAUAACUACAAGAAACAUUUUUUAAUUGAACUGGCCUCUCAUAAAAGAAGCUUUUAAAAAACAAUUCGGCAAAGAUAUAAAACUGUAGGCCCUUCUAUUUGUGCAACAACAACAACAAACAGCUCGGCUGGGCAUUUAACAAAAAUCUUAUGGUGCUGCGUCUGUUUGCCCUACUGUGCAGAGAGUUGCAUGAGUACGAACCAUUAUUGCGGUAAUUGCAAUAAAUUCCUGGGCAC